rnacentral:tRNA from 2 species
UGCGGGGUGGAGCAGUCUGGUAGCUCGUUGGGCUCAUAACCCAAAGGUCGUAGGUUCGAAUCCUGCCCCCGCGACCA